UACAGAGGUCCCAAGCGUUGUUCGGAUUCAUUGGGCGUAAAGGGUGCGUAGGCGGCGCGGUAAGCCGGGUGUGAAAUCUCGGAGCUUAACUCCGAAACUGCAUUCGAUACUGCCGUGCUUGAGGACUGGAGAGGAGACUGGAAUUUACGGUGUAGCGGUGAAAUGCGUAGAUAUCGUAAGGAAGACCAGUGGCGAAGGCGGGUCUCUGGACAGUUCCUGACGCUGAGGCACGAAGGCCAGGGGAGCAAACGGG
rnacentral:rRNA from 1 species